CCUUCCUUCUUAUUCUGCAAAUGUAUGAGAGAAGCAGAAGUGCUCUCUCUCUCACCCUCCCUCCCUCUUAUUCUCCUUGCCUCUUCCUUCAUCCUGCACUAGCUAGAGAAAUCAGAGACUUCAGAGCUGUCCAGGAGUACUCCGGGAGUCCUCCUGCCCUGGGACUGCGUCUCCUGUCUCCCCACCAGCCUACACUUUAAUGGCCUUGACCUGCCUGAAGAGGGGGAGCCGACACACUCUACACUCCACAGCCACAGAGAGCUCCGCAUUUGGGGAGAUAGCUGCUGUUUGUCCUCCAGCCAUCCCUCUUCUGCCUCUCCUCUCCUCUCCUGUAGACUCCUCACUCACUCCUCGGUCUCUGUGUCCAUGCUCGUCUGAGCAUCCCCUCCUCUCCCUGCCUCGUGGUGACCUCUGACCUCAGAAGGAGAGGGCAGAGCAGGAAGCUCCACAGGGGGCAGGCAGACAGGAGUGCACUUAGAUGGAAGAGUGAGUUGCCGGGGGAUCAGUUUGGUUAUGAGUGCCCGUUCCGGGGUUAUGAUGCAGAUCCUUAGCAGCCUGCAGAAGUCAGGCAGGCUGAAGAUGAUGACUGUGGUCAGGACCUCCCUCCGGAAGGUAGUGGUCUUCUUACAUCGUCUGCAAAGGAUGGCCAUCUCCUCCCCUCGCUACCACAAACUGUACAAGGAUAUCCAGGCGGAAAUUGAUGCUCACAAUGACAUCUUCAGGAGUAUGGAUGGUAAUGUGGUGAAGACAGCGCAGUUGCCAGGCGGUUGGGAAGCAGUCAGGUCGUUGAGCAGCUCCGAGGAGGUCGUCGGCCUGCAGCAGAGGCCCAGAGAGAUGAGCCAUGGCUGGGCAGAGCCAGGGUCUAAGACUGUCAGUUUCAGGGUGCACCUGGAGGCCAGGGCAGAGAGGCGAGGUUGGGUGCUGGGUAUGCUGGAGGACCUGAGAAGGUGGCUGAGUCUGAAAGAGGAAGAGUUCAUCAGCCAUGGGCCCAUCAGUGGGGAAGUUCCCGCCCUGUUGCAACAGCACAGCCUCUGUACGGCACUGCAGAGUGAACUGGAGGCCUGUGAGCCUCUAGUAGUCAGGGCUUUGGAUGAGGCCCACAUGUUCUCGGCUGACCCAUCCACUGAGGAGUUGGAGGAACAGCAAAAGAAUGCGGAAUCAAGAACGGACCUCCCGGCCGAGGAGACGGCCAGCGGCACAGCCAGUAGGGCAGUUGGAGUUAUCCACCAGCGGGCAUCGGAGGUGCGCGGCCGCUGGGAGCGCCUUGUCACCCGCGCAGGCGUCCGGCGACUACAGGCGGACGCAGCCUUGGAGAAGCUGCAGAACCUGAAUGGCAUUUUGGAAAAGCUGAGCUUGGGGCUGGGCCAGGCAGAGGAGGAGAGGGUGGGGUGGCCCUCUGUUGGAGAUCUGUGUGCAGAUUCUCUUCGGGAGCACAUUGAGAAGGCCACUGUAUUCAGGCAGAACAUGGUGCCCCUGGAGCUUCAGGUGAGGGCUGUGAACAAGCUCUCUGCCGAGCUAUCAGCCCUCUGUGUUCAGCCAUCCUCCACCACAUCCGCACAGAUCGGCAAACUCAACAAACGCUGGAACAUAUUAGAGGAAGCCACAGGGGACAGACUCAGGCAGCUGCAGAUGGCACUGCGGGAUUUUGGACCCAUUUCCCAGCAUUUCCUGUCCACUUCUGUACAACUGCCAUGGCAGAGGGCUGUGUCUCACAACGAGGUACCAUACUACAUCAACCAUGAGACCCAGAGCACCAGCUGGGACCAUCCCAAGAUGACAGAACUCCUCCAUUCUCUUGCUGAUUUGAAUGGCGUGAGGUUCUCAGCCUACAGAACUGCCAUGAAGAGCCGUAGGCUGCAGAAGGCUUUGUGCUUGGAUUUGCUGGGGCUCAGCAUGGCUGAGAAGAUCUUUGAGCAGUAUGGACUCACGUUGAACAACCAGCUUCUGAGUGUGCCUGACGUCGCCCACUGUCUGACCUCCAUAUACGACCUGCUGGAGUGGAACCACAAGGACCUGGUCAAUGUGCCCCUGUGUGUGGACUUGUGCCUCAACUGGCUCCUCAACCUCUAUGACAUAGGCCGAAGUGGGAAGAUUCGCGCACGUUCUGUGAAGAUCGCCGUACUCUCUCUGUCUAAUGGUCAUCUGGAGGACAAAUAUAAAUAUCUGUUCCGACAGGUGGCAGCGCCAGCAGACACUUGUGACCCUGGAGGGCUGGGCCUGCUGCUCCACGAUGUUCUUCAGAUCCCGAGGCAGCUCGGAGAGGCCACUGCCUUUGGAGCCAGCAGCGUCCAGCCCAGCAUACACAGCUGCUUUCAACACGUGAACUGCAGGGCAGAGCUGGACCUGGGGCACUUUGUGGACUGGAUGCGCUUGGAGCCCCAGCCCGUGGUAUGGCUGCCAGUCCUGCACCGCGUAGCCGCUGCGGAGACGGCAAAACACCAGGCCAAGUGCAACAUCUGCAAGGACUGUCCCAUAGUGGGCUUCAGGUACCGCAGCCUGAAGCACUUCAACUACAAUGUCUGCCAAGCCUGCUUCUUCUCUGGACGCACCGCCAAGGGCUACAAGCUGAGCACCCCCAUGGUGGAGUACUGCACACCGACGACCUCCGGGGAAGACGUGCGUGACUUCACAAAGGUGCUGAAAAACAAAUUUCGGUCAAAGAAGUACUUUGCCAAGCAUCCUCGUCUUGGUUACCUUCCAGUUCAGAAUAUUCUGGGAGGAGGGGAGAGUUUGGAGACUCGGGUCACUCUCAUUAGCAUGUGUCCAGAGCAGUAUGAGGAUAAGGAGCAGUCCUGCACAGCCCUUGAGGAGGAGUCCAAGCCAACCCGUCCAUGGAGCCCCACACUCAUCUUGCGGGUAGAUUCCAGUCAAACCCAGAUCUCCACCCAAAUCCAGGAGGUGGAGCCAAACCAUUUCCAGAAGCCUGCCCACAUCUUGCAGAAUGGAGAGAGGGAAAAAUGCAGCAAGCUUGAGCACAUCUCUACCCAACUGGAGACGGAAAAUAGGCCUGGCCUCUUGGACCAUAGCCAGCUGCAAGCACCCCAGCCUCAACCCUACCACUUAAGACACCUCCCACAGCAGGUUUCUUAAAGGCUUUCUAGAAUGGAUUAUAUUUUGAUAUUCUAGUCGAAGCCUUAUUUGGAUGGUGAUGUCAAUGCUGUGAAGAUCUCUACUCCCAUGGUUAAAACCUUGACCUUCCCUGAAGAAAAUGCUUAGAAGAUAUGGCAAGGAAUAAUGAGGGAUUCCCCAAAGACUUAGAGACACUGAUGCAAGACCACAGGUCUUUACUUGUGUUGUUUCGUUACUAUGCAACUGUGCAUUUGUAUGCACCAUAGAGCCCAUUCAAGGCUGUUGAAACAUUAGUAAGUGAUUUGUAUGAAUCUGCUAAUGGAUGGGGUAGGCGGCUGGAGGGACUGGGUCUUGGAGAGAUUAGGUUGUAGUAAAUGCCUCUUUGGAUAUAAAUGGAAAUCCAGCUGUUUGUGACAUCCCUUGGCUUUCUGAAGAGCACAGAGCAUCUUCACCCUUGAUCAUUACCAUCACCUAUCCAUUUUGAUUUAGUGUGAGUGUAUAAAUGACUUCAUGUACCGUUAUGAUAUUGCUUUGUGAUACUGUUUCAUCCAUCACUAUGUGCUGCACAUUCCAAAGUAUGUGUUUGAGGUCUGUUUUUAUAGUAUUUGUGAUGAAGACUUGCAGCAGUUGACGUAUUGUUGCUAUAGGUUAUUCCUAAUGGGCAUACAUGUUAUACUGCAUUUUUCGCAUAGUAUUUAUUGAAAUUUAAUUUGUAUAAUGUAUUUCACAUAAGAAAGCCAUGGCUGUCUUGCUACCUCAAAGACUCUCUCAUAAGCACGACCUGGACUUUGAUUUGUCUGGAAUCAGCCAUUUCAGAAGAAUAAGGUUGCAUUCACACUGGAUGUGUUUUGUCAGCUAGAAAACUCAAGACGCACUAUCUGUUUUGAUUUUAUGAAACUUACUCAUAAAAUCAGAAGCUUGAAAAAAGUGUGGAAGCUCCUUUUUUGCUGUUAAACUCACUCUGCUCCUGUCAAUCACUUGUGUAACGUAUUUAAUGGAUUUAGCCAACUAAUUUCACCUGAAAAUAACUUGCCAUUUACAGUAUGUCAACAUAGUGCUAAUUUGUUGCAGUGCCUUGGGCCACUUAUUUUUGUCUUGGUAGUUAUGAUCUGUGAAAUUGUUCAACUUCAAGUGGCCAGAAACUGUAACGACCAACUUCUCUUUCAUCUUUAUUUAGCUACAGGGGAAGUUUAUGGCAGAAUCAAGGCCUGCCUCUUUUUUCAUGCGAUUGAGCACCAUAGAAAAGAAUGACAGUGACGCUGGGCGCCCUGGGGAUAAACGUGCGGCACCUGGCACAAUAAAGCAACACAAAAAAUGCUUAAAACUGAUUGGAAAUUAUUCUAAAAAAGGUGCCCCAGCUGUUAAAGUGUGUCUGGUGUGAACUCCAAAACAUGUCUAUUUCCCUGUGGCCCCAAUGACCUUUUCUGCGAAAAAAGAGAGAUUCAAAUUCUGUGCCAUGCUAUCAUGUAAUUAUGUGAUGUCUUAGGGUGGUGAUAAUGUGGAUGUAUUUGGAGUCAUACAGUACAUGCCAGUCACCUUGCAUCUAACAUUGCACCAUAUGUUGUUCUGAA